rnacentral:tRNA from 1 species
UGAGAUGUAGCUCAGCGGUAGAGCACUUGCCUAGUGUGUGCAAGGCUCUGGAUUUGAUUUCCAGCAUUGCAA